ensembl:lncRNA
GUCAGUUAGUAAGGGUCUUGGUCUUGAGUGUCAAAGGUCUUGGUCUUGGAUUUGAUGGUUAAGGAUCUUGGUCUUGUCUUGAUGUUGGUUGAUACGGGUCUUUGUCUUGUUUUGAUGUGGGCUGGUAAGGGACUUUUGUUGCUUUGGUGUAGGUUCAUAUGGCCAUUAGUCUUGUAUUGUUGGUUGGUAAGGACCUUUUCUUGUCUUGGUUGUUGUGGGUUUUGGUCUCAUUUUGUUGUCAGUUGGCAAGGGUCUUGUUUUGGUGUUGGUUAGUAUGGGCCUUGAUCUUGUUUUUGGUGUUAGUUGGUAAAGAUCUUGUCUUGUAUUGGUUGUUGAGGGUCUUGAUCUUGGUCUGGUGUAGGCUGGUAUGGGACUUGUUUUGGUGUCAGUUGGUAAGGUCAUUGGUCUUGUUUUGGUGUCAGUUGGUAAGGGUAUUGGUCUUGUUUUGGUGUCAGUUGGUAAGGGUAUUGGUCUUGUUUUGGUGUCAGUUGGUAUGGGUAUUGGUCUUGCUUUGGUGUCAGUUGGUAAGGGUAUUGGUCUUGUUUUGGUG